ACCAACCCGAUGCAAACUGCGAAUACCGGAGAAUGUUAUCACGGGAGACACACGGCGGGUGCUAACGUCCGUCGUGAAGAGGGAAACAACCCAGACCGCCAGCUAAGGUCCCAAAGUCAUGGUUAAGUGGGAAACGAUGUGGGAAGGCCCAGACAGCCAGGAUGUUGGCUUAGAAGCAGCCAUCAUUUAAAGAAAGCGUAAUAGCUCACUGGUCGAGUCGGCCUGCGCGGAAGAUGUAACGGGGCUAAACCAUGCACCGAAGCUGCGGCAGCGACACUGUGUGUUGUUGGGUAGGGGAGCGUUCUGUAAGCCUGUGAAGGUGUGUCGUGAGGCAUGCUGGAGGUAUCAGAAGUGCGAAUGCUGACAUAAGUAACGAUAAAGCGGGUGAAAAGCCCGCUCGCCGGAAGACCAAGGGUUCCUGUCCAACGUUAAUCGGGGCAGGGUGAGUCGACCCCUAAGGCGAGGCCGAAAGGCGUAGUCGAUGGGAAACGGGUUAAUAUUCCCGUACUUGGUGUUACUGCGAAGGGGGGACGGAGAAGGCUAUGUUGGCCGGGCGACGGUUGUCCCGGUUUAAGCGUGUAGGUGUGUGUUCCAGGUAAAUCCGGUUCACUUUAACACUGAGGCGUGACGACGAGGCACUACGGUGCUGAAGCAACAAAUGCCCUGCUUCCAGGAAAAGCCUCUAAGCAUCAGGUAACAUCAAAUCGUACCCCAAACCGACACAGGUGGUCAGGUAGAGAAUACCAAGGCGCUUGAGAGAACUCGGGUGAAGGAACUAGGCAAAAUGGUGCCGUAACUUCGGGAGAAGGCACGCUGACACGUAGGUGAAGUGAUUUACUCAUGGAGCUGAAGUCAGUCGAAGAUACCAGCUGGCUGCAACUGUUUAUUAAAAACACAGCACUGUGCAAACACGAAAGUGGACGUAUACGGUGUGACGCCUGCCCGGUGCCGGAAGGUUAAUUGAUGGGGUCAGCGCAAGCGAAGCUCCUGAUCGAAGCCCCGGUAAACGGCGGCCGUAACUAUAACGGUCCUAAGGUAGCGAAAUUCCUUGUCGGGUAAGUUCCGACCUGCACGAAUGGCGUAAUGAUGGCCAGGCUGUCUCCACCCGAGACUCAGUGAAAUUGAACUCGCUGUGAAGAUGCAGUGUACCCGCGGCAAGACGGAAAGACCCCGUGA
rnacentral:rRNA from 1 species